AACGAACGCUGGCGGCAUGCCUAACACAUGCAAGUCGAACGAGUCCUUCGGGUCUAGUGGCGCACGGGUGCGUAACGCGUGGGAACCUGCCCUUAGGUUCGGAAUAACUCCCCGAAAGGGGUGCUAAUACCGGAUAAUGUCUUCGGACCAAAGAUUUAUCGCCUUUGGAUGGGCCCGCGUUGGAUUAGCUAGUUGGUAGGGUAAAAGCCUACCAAGGCGACGAUCCAUAGCUGGUCUGAGAGGAUGAUCAGCCACACUGGGACUGAGACACGGCCCAGACUCCUACGGGAGGCAGCAGUGGGGAAUAUUGGACAAUGGGCGAAAGCCUGAUCCAGCAAUGCCGCGUGAGUGAUGAAGGCCUUAGGGUUGUAAAGCUCUUUUACCCGGGAUGAUAAUGACAGUACCGGGAGAAUAAGCGCCGGCUAACUCCGUG
rnacentral:rRNA from 1 species